CCCAUGUGAAAAGUCCCUCUCCAGCUCUCAUGCAGACCCCCUGUAGGUCCUGGUAAGGUGCUCUAGGGUCUCCCUGGAAUCCUUCAGUCUGAGCAAUUCUCUCAGCCUUUCCUCACUGAAGCUGUGCCCAUUGUGUCCAUUGCUACAGUAAGAUUUCCCAAGAUGGGCAUAAAUAUGAAAUAAAUCAAUCGAGCAAUUGGCAUCACUAAGAUUUUCACACUUGCCUCACUGCAUUAUCAUUUGCAGAUGUUGGGGAAAACAGAUGAUGUUUCAUUGUUAUGUGUUGAGAUGAAUUUCUUAAAUGAAUGCUUGAAGAAGUGCAAAUUGAGGUAAUUCUUUAGAAUGUCCUGGUUUUCAAUUAGAAUAUUUAUUACUUUCCAGUAAUUAUGGCUUUUACACAAGAGAAAAUGUUCUGUAUGAUACAUAAAUUAUUAACCAUAAUAGAAGCACUAAAGCUCUGACAAGAAAUUUGGAUAAAAAAUAAUAUUAUUUCCAAAGAAAGUUUUAUUUGUCAGUUUGCUAAUUGUGUGCCUGGAGUCUUUUGUAGCCAAACUUUGCUUGUUUUUGGACAUUUAGUGUAUGGACCACUGAUCCAAUACAUAUUAAGCCUUGGUUACCUUUAUUUAAAUUCAUGUUGGAGCAAUAGCAGAAAUAAGUUGUUUUGAUUCUUUCAGAUAAGACCACCAAAUUCAAAAUAAAGUGGUGUUUUCACUCCUUGGAAUAAAAUAAUGCUUAAGCUCACAGUUGUCCUUCACUUGAAGUAGGUGGAGCUUGCUGCUGGAACAGGUGGUAUUUUAUUUUUUUAUAAUCUGUAAGCUCCUAUGGCCUAGGUUUUGAAACAAAUAACUGUUUUCAUUGAUA